GGAGUUUGGUCCGUGUCUCAGUACCAAUGUGGGGGACCUUCCUCUCAGAACCCCUACUGAUCGACGGCUUGGUGGGCCGUUACCCCGCCAACAACCUAAUCAGACGCAUCCCCAUCCCAUAGCGAUAAAUCUUUGCUCCAUCUCAGAUGCCCUCAAAGGAGAACAUAGGGCAUUAAUCCGACUUUCGCCGGGCUAUUCCCUACUAUGGGGAAGGUUGGAUACGCGUUACUCACCCGUGCGCCGGUCGCCAUCAAUUGGU
rnacentral:rRNA from 1 species